AUUACCGCGGCUGCUGGCACAGAGUUAGCCGGUGCUUGCUAAAGAGGUACCGUCAUCAUGCUGGAUAUUAGCCAACACUUAUUCGUCCCUCUCCACAGAGCUUUACAACCCGAAGGCCUUCAUCACUCACGCGGCGUCGCUGCGUCACGCUUUCGCGCAUUGCACAAGAUUCCCCACUGCUGCCUCCCGUAGG
rnacentral:rRNA from 1 species